rnacentral:lncRNA from 1 species
CUGGUAUUCAAGUGACUGAGGUUUGGAAAACAAUUUCCUAAAUGAACAUGUUGAUUUAUAUACUUAUUUCCUAGUGACGUAUUUGUGUGAGUCCCCUCACUCCAUGAAUGAGGGGAAGAAACUUGAGCCAUAAAUCCUGUUCGCCCACCUGUACCAGACCCCAUUCCAAAGAUUACCACUCUUUCUUAACUCCAGAUGCGACUAAAGUCUAUACUUCUCUGGAAUGUCGCAGAGAGAACACCCAGAACCUUCGGGUUAUCACGUGCCAGGGCUGGAUCAGCCCAUUAGUGGGACCAAAGGGUGGGGUGGGGAGGAGAAACUGCAGAAUGAGCCCGUCUCCAGGAACAGCAUGUAUUCAGCACAGAGCCAUAAGUUCAGAAAUACCAGCCUUGGGUGUGUUGCUUAUGGAGACUUACUACAGCAAAGGAGGCUAACCUAGAAUUGACUCCUAUCUUCCCAAACUAAAGAGCGCUAACUGAUACAGCUCUCCAUCAUCUGCAGAAUGAAGCAUGCAAACUUCUCAUCCUGUGUUACAGAUUCUUAUUUAUUUAUUUAUUUAUUUAUUUAUUGGGCCACGACAACAGCAUGCAGAAAUUUCCAGGCCAGGGAUGGAACUCAUGCCACCCAGGACAGAGCAGAGACAAUACCAGAUCCUUAACCCAUUAGGCUACCAGGGAACUCCUGUGUUACAGAUUCUCCACAUUGUGUUUAUAUCUCACUUGAUGGCCCUUCCCUAACUAAGCUUAAGCCCCUGGGAGCUAGCCAUUAGACUGUUUGCAUUUUAUGGGCAAGGAGGAGGUCUAACUCAUUUCUGUCCCAUGCCAGAUGGCUUGAUGUAUUUCCAUCAGAUGUAAUUAAGAACCAGCUCUGACAUUAAAAAUAAGAAAAAGUAUCCUGUGGCUCAGAGCAGAAAUGGUUCCCAGACUAAGAUUACAGAGAAUCUGGGUAUCAAACAAAUUCUAGGGAUUUUUGUUUGUUCGUUUGUUUGCCAGAGCGUACAGCGGCUUGACGUGGGAUUGAACCCACGCUGCAGCAGUGAAUGCUCUGAGUCCUAACCAUUAGGUCACCAGGGAAUUCCCACUAGGGAUUUUUUUUUUUGGCUGCGCCCUUGGCAUGUAGAAGUUCCCAGGCCAGAGAUUGGACCCUGUACCACGGCAGCAACCCUGGCCACUCCAGUGACAAGGCCAGAUAUGGAACCCUCUGCGCAACAGGGGAAUUCCAACCACUACAGGUACUUUUAAAAGUAAGUUCUAAAGGGUAUAUUCUCUUCCUUUGGCUAGAAAUUAGAUUUGGAAGUUUAAGAGAGACGGCUCAGCUCUGCUCAAUGAAGCCAAAAGCCCCCAGAUUUACAUAUUAUAAACCUCUGGAUUAUGCAUUUGGACGUUCAGGAAGGUUAUUUGCACCCUCAGGACGUCAUCGGGCUCGGGUUCAAUC